UCAUAACAUCCAAUCACAGAGGUUUACAGCAGCUGACAGUUGUACCAUCAUUGCUAAUAACUUAAACUGCCUUAUUCAGAUAAAGACAAUCUCUGUACAAAUGUAGGAUCUUAAUUUGAUCAUCCUGUUGCAGGACAACGUUGCUGCAAUGCAGUUAAUUUUAAACUUGUAUUGUAUUUGAGAUUUAAAAAGGCUUUUGGAGAUUGUAAUAGAGGCUACUUCCUCUGCAAGAAAACCAGUCGUCCACAUCCCGUGACUGAAGUUAUGUGAUUUCCUCAUAGGAAAUUAAAAGCGUGUUUGAAGCCUACGCAGUUUCAAAACGGCUGUUGAAACUAUCGCAAACAUUUGUCAACAACAUUAGAAGUGGGAUAAAUGUGUUGAUUUGAAGGAAAGACGGGCAGACUGGGGUCCUGUCUCUAAAAUGAGUCUCUCUGGGGAGAGAGAGGAGGGGGGCCCUGCCUCUAAAAUGAGUCUCUCUGGGGAGAGAGAGGAGGGGGGCCCUGCCUCGAAAAGGAGUGUCUCUGGGGAACAUGGCACCAAAUCUAAGAGACCAAUCAAGCAGGAGAGACCAGCCUCCCCUGUUCCCAGCUGUGUGUCCAUGAAGAGUGACCAGUCUAUGGAUCCUCUUAUAUACUUUAGAGAGGGAGACUUUUCUACUGAACAAAGGUAAGAAGAACUCAUGGGUCAUGGUCAGUGAGUUAAACACCACUGUCUCUAGUCAUUUCUCCUCUCCCAUUUUCACAUUCCUUUUUGUUGUUUUCAUAAUCCGUAGGCUAAUCCUUCUGUCCAUUUUCAUAGUCCUAAAACAAUAUUAAACAAACACAACGUUCCCUCCCUGUGUGUGUGUGUGUGUGAAAGUGUGUGUGUUUGCACUCCCUGGACAAGGAAAUGAAAUCUCUAUCCUGAUUGCCUAGUCACUUUUGCCACUACCUACAUGUACAUAUUACCUCAAUUAUAGUCUCAUUAUUACCUCAACUACCUGGUACCCCUGCACAUUGACUCAGUACCUGUACUCCUUAUAGUCUCAUUAUUACCUCAACUACCUGGUACCCCUGCACAUUGACUCAGUACUGGUACUCCUUAUAGUCUCAUUAUUACCUCAACUACCUGGUACC